ACCAAAGAGGCAGCAAUGUUUUAAUUCCCCUCCAAAGCACUUAGAGAGGGAGUCACUGCUGGAGCCCAGGCACAGAUAGGACAGGGAUAUAUUUUCUUCUUACCAAUUCAGCUGUUUUCACCUUCCCUUAGGAGACAGGAUCCCAUUUCCUCUGUCCCCAGGCAGAUUGAGGAAAGCCUGGAGUCAUCCUCUGGCUUCAUGACAAAGGACCUGGCUAGGAAAUGGCUGGGCAAGCCUCAACUUGAUGCCCAGACCUUGUCAGCACGUGACCGUGCAGACUGGGAAGCACAUCUCAUCCCCUGCAUCCAGGCCCAGGGGAUCAGGUGCUAAAAUCAAGGCUUAAUGAGAUGUGGGCUGUGAACUCAACCAAGGUGAAGAAACACUGAUGACAGCCUGUGAGCAUCCCUGAGGGCCUGCAAAACACCUGCAGCAGAAGGAGCUCAUCACCUUUCUACCCACCUCACUCUGCCAGCCCACUUUAUCAAAGAACCAGAAUAAAAAAUAAGUUUCAAAGCCUUAAAAAUUGGGUAAUCUCACUGGUGGGCAACAUGAAAAAAUCCGUGACACCAGCUGAGACAUUUAUUCAGCCUCUCAUCACCUGAUGUCUGACAGCAGUCACCCUUAUAUACUUCCUACAGAGCUGUUGGAGAGAUUUCUUUUCCAAAACAAAAUGUAU